ACUGCUCAGUAACACGUGGAUAACCUGCCCUUGGGUCCGGCAUAACCCCGGGAAACUGGGGAUAAUUCCGGAUAACGCAUAUGUGCUGGAAUGCUUUAUGCGUCAAAUGGAUUCGUCUGCCCAAGGAUGGGUCUGCGGCCUAUCAGGUAGUAGUGGGUGUAAUGUACCUACUAGCCGACAACGGGUACGGGUUGUGAGAGCAAGAGCCCGGAGAUGGAUUCUGAGACAUGAAUCCAGGCCCUACGGGGCGCAGCAGGCGCGAAAACUUUACAAUGCGGGAAACCGUGAUAAGGGGACACCGAGUGUCAGCAUCAUAUGCUGGCUGUCCAGGUGUGUAAAAUACACCUGUUAGCAAGGGCCGGGCAAGACCGGUGCCAGCCGCCGCGGUAACACCGGCGGCCCGAGUGGUGAUCGUGAUUAUUGGGUCUAAAGGGUCCGUAGCCGGUUUGGUCAGUCCUCCGGGAAAUCUGAUAGCUCAACUGUUAGGCUAUCGGGGGAUACUACCAGACUUGGAACCGGGAGAGGUAAGAGGUACUACAGGGGUAGGAGUGAAAUCUUGUAAUCCCUGUGGGACCACCUGUGGCGAAGGCGUCUUACCAGAACGGGUUCGACGGUGAGGGACGAAAGCUGGGGGUACGAACCGGAUUAGAUACCCGGGUAGUCCCAGCCGUAAACGAUGCUCGCUAGGUGUCAGGCAUGGCGCGACCGUGUCUGGUGCCGCAGGGAAGCCGUGAAGCGAGCCACCUGGGAAGUACGGCCGCAAGGCUGAAACUUAAAGGAAUUGGCGGGGGAGCAC
rnacentral:rRNA from 1 species